ensembl:Mt_tRNA
UGGAGAAAGUCAUAGUGGUUAUGGGGUUGGCUUGAAACCAGUUAUAGAGGGUUCGAUUCCUUCCUUUCUUAG